rnacentral:tRNA from 1 species
GUAGAUAUAGUUUAAAUAAAACACUAGAUUGUGAGUCUAGUAACAGAGACUGGAACCUCUUAUCCACC